CCUACGGGUGGCAGCAGUGAGGAAUAUUGGUCAAUGGGCGCGAGCCUGAACCAGCCAAGUCGCGUGAGGGAAGACGGUCCUAUGGAUUGUAAACCUCUUUUGUCGGGGAGCAAAAGACGCCACGCGUGGCGUUCCGAGAGUACCCGAAGAAAAAGCAUCGGCUAACUCCGUGCCAGCAGCCGCGGUAAUACGGAGGAUGCGAGCGUUAUCCGGAUUUAUUGGGUUUAAAGGGUGCGAGGGCGGCCUGCUAAGGCUGGGGUGAAAGGUACCGGCUCAACCGGUACAUGCUCGGGAAACUGGCGGGCUUGAGUGCAGGAGAGGGAGGUGGAACUCCAUGUGUAGCGGUGAAAUGCGUAGAUAUAUGGAAGAACACCAGUGGCGAAGGCGGCUGCCUGCCCUGUUACUGACGCUGAGGCACGAAAGCGUGGGGAGCAAAUAGGAUUAGAUACCCUGGUAGUC
rnacentral:rRNA from 1 species